GGGCCCGCACAAGCGGUGGAGUAUGUGGUUUAAUUCGAUGCAACGCGAAGAACCUUACCAGGGUUUGACAUCCUUGGAAUUCUCUAGAGAUAGAGAAGUGCCUUCGGGAACCAAGUGACAGGUGCUGCAUGGCUGUCGUCAGCUCGUGUCGUGAGAUGUUGGGUUAAGUCCCGUAACGAGCGCAACCCUCACCCUUAGUUGCCAUCAGCUUGGCUGGGAACUCUAAGGGGACUGCCGGUGAUAAACCGGAGGAAGGUGGGGAUGACGUCAAGUCAGCAUGCCCCUUACACCCUGGGCUACACACGUGCUACAUUGGGCGAGACAAUGAGAUGCAAAUCUGUGAAGACUAGCUAAUCUAUAAACUCGUUCUAAGUUCGGAUUGUAGGCUGCAACUCGCCUACAUGAAGGUGGAAUC
rnacentral:rRNA from 1 species